GCAUGCAUCAUGAUGACUAUAGUAGGUUGAUUGCACUAGUUUCACGAAUAUGGCGCAUUGCAUUGCAUAAUACGAUGUAUAUGAUGAGAUGGAUGGACCAAGGCGACCCCAAUAGCCCUAACUCUGUGUAAGACCUGGCCGGGCCAGGCAGCCUUCUGUAGGUAAGACUUGGCUAGGCUAGGCAGCAGAUUAUCGUAAGACCUGGCUGGGCCAGGCGAGCAGAGUUUGUAAGACCUGGCCGGGCCAGGCAAAUUGAGGAUGUAAGACCUGGCUGGGCCAGGCAUCCUCCCAGUGGGAAUUUUGGUGGUCAUGUCUGUCCUUGAGAUGAAAUGUCUGUGAUGUGAUGCAUUCCAUGAGAUCAUGUUUUAUAGUUCUACUCAUUGGGCUUGUAUAGCUCAUCCCUCUCCCCUAUUCCCCAGUUGUGCAGGUUCAAAGUCCAGAGGGAGUUCAGCAGGGUAUGGAAGAAGCGAGAUGUAAUAGCUAGUGUGGACAUGUAUAUGUAAAGAGCUUGUAGUUACGUAAUAAGAUGUAUAGACUUGUGCUUGAUUCGUUAGAGUGAUCCCCAGUUGUGUAUACAUGAUCCGUUUUUAUAUGUAUGUAUCUUUUCUUGUUGAUGUAUAUGAGAAAACCAGGCUUAAUAUUCUGAGUUUAUCCGCUUAGAGACGGCUAAGAGAGAGCAGAAACAGUGCAUGCACAGGUUAAGCCCUGGAGGAAAGAACAGUUUUAAUGUUUGACAGAAAAAGUAUGAUCAUGUAUGGGAUUUCACAGGUACACAGACAGGAUAGCAGGCUUACUACGGGUCCCAGCGACCUUAAGUCGAUCUGGAUCCUAGUGCCGGUAGCAGUUCGGUUUCCGGGCUGUUACAGAUUGGUAUCAGAGCCCUAGGUUCACAUGAUCGGACCUAUAGAGAGAGAGAGUUGGGCUCAUAGAGGUUGAGUGGUCAAACACAAUAGGAAAACAUGUCCACUAGGAUAGGAUGUUCGUCCUGUCUAUAUGCUGAUAGCUUCAUGCAUGUGCAUUUUUUUAUGUGUUGCUUAUGUGUUAUGUUAUGUGCUGUUUUCCAGAACGUUAAGAUGCGAGGAACUCGUCGAUCCGCGAGAUUGACUGGAGUCCCACCUGUAAGUGAGGGAACAGCUGCUCGUCCUCCUGCAUUGCCCAGGGCAAGAUGUCAUAGGUCAAGCAGGGAGGGAACGUCAAGAGACCCUAGAAGGUCUUCUGACGAGAGCAGAAGAGGCGUAGGCAGAGGGGAAAGAGCAGAAGAAGAGAGAGUGGCUAGGGAGGAGACUCAGAGUAGAGAUGAAAGUAUGAGUAUCGGACGGUCAGAAGAAGGUAUGGGGGAGUCCCAGGGAGGCGUACAGGCCUCGGGGUUUGGCUAUCCACCCUUUCAACAGGGCCCAGGGUAUCCGAUGGGAGGCACGUCGGAUUACUCCAGCUUUGCCCCAUAUCCACCCUACAUGCCAUAUAUGCCCUAUCCUUCCUUCUAUCCACCAUAUCACAUGUAUCCACCCCCACCUGUUCAUCCAAGUUCAAUGUCGCCUGAAUCCAGAGAAACAGUACCUCCACCACCACCACCUGAACCAGUAGCCCCUGUUGUUGUUGAAGCACAACCCAGUUCGUCAGGGGGAAAUAAGGUGAAGAUGACCGAGUACUUAAAGUUGGAUGCUCCUAAAUUCAACACGGGAGAUGAUCCCUUUGAGUAUCUCAGUGCAGUUCGAAUGAUAACAAGUGAGUUGGGAGCAGAUGAUAGUAGAGCCAUUGAGAUGGCAGGGUUCACAUUAAAAUGCAAGAAAGCCAGAGAAUGGUUCAAGAACUAUGUGGACCCCAGAAGAGACAGUAUGACAUGGGAAGAGUUCGCCAACGAAUUUGCUGGGUGGGCUUUUCCUGACAGUUCCAGGGAGCUAAAGGUUGUGGAGUUCGAACAGUUGAGACAGACGGAGGAGAUGAGUGUUGAUGAGUAUAUAGAUAAGUUCCUGGAAUUGUUACCAUAUGUGGGUCAGGCGUAUGAUACGGAUCAGAAGAAAGCAAAGAGGUAUGCCACGAGGCUACAUCCCAGGUAUUUCUCCUUGAUCCUCCAUGCAGAGAAAGAGAGUUUCCACUCGAUUGUGGAUGCUGCUUGAAAGAUGGAGGCUAGUGCCAUCAGUCAGGGAGUAGUCAAGCAAUCAAAGGCACAGUCUUCUGGUGUUAAACCAGGUUCCUCCUCACAGAGUAUGGUUAGUGCGAGCAAGAAGAGAUGGGAUAAACUCAGAGGAAAGAGAGGCAAGUUCUGGAGCAGGAUUAAGACGGGUUUGGGAAUGAGUAGCGGCUCCAGCUCUGGCACAGAUAUUCCAGUGUGCAAUAGGUGUGGGAGACCGCACAAAGGAGCUUGUUUGUUGGGAUCGACAACCUGCUAUAGAUGUGGGCAGGAGGGACAUUAUGCACGGGAAUGUCCUCAGGCGACUUUGGUUACACCAUCCCAGCAGAUGACCUCAGGCAGUGUAGUACAAUCAACAGCUUCAGCCCGACCACCAAGCAGUGGCCGAGGUAGAGGAAGAGGGACAGCCUCUUCAUCAGGGAUGGGUUCCCGAGGUGCAGGUCCGUCAGCCCCCGCACGGAUUUUCACCAUGACUCAGCGGGAGGCAGACACUUCGAACACAGUGGUGUCAGGUAAUCUCAUCAUUGGGUGUUCAGAGGUGUAUGCUUUGAUGGACCCCGGUGCUUCUCACUCUUUCAUUGCUUCUAGAGCCGCAGAGAGGUUGGGUUUGAUAGUCUCCGAGUUAGCGUGUCCUCUCUGGGUCAGUGGACCUAGAUGUGACCCAUCAUUGGCAGAGUUAGUCUGUCAAGUCAGUCCAGUGUGUAUAGAGGGUAGAUACCUUCCAGCUGACCUUGUGGUUCUAGAGUUGGCAGAUUUUGAUGUCAUUCUAGGGAUGGAUUGGUUGUCUACAUAUAAUGCUACUUUGAACUGCAGAGACAAAGUAGUCAGUGUCAGAGACCAGGAUGGGUCAGAGUGUGUCUUCAGAGGAGACAGGAGAGGGACACCUAAGGGUUUGAUAUCAGCCCUCCAGGCUCGUAGGUUGUUAAGGAAGGGUUGUCAGGGGUUCCUAGCUCAUGUGAGAGAGCUAGAUAACCAAGUUAGGGAACCAUCCUCAGUACCAGUGGUUUGCGAGUUCCCAGAUGUGUUUCCUGAAGAGCUUCCAGGACUACCACCUGAUAGGGAAAUAGAGUUUGAGAUCGAAUUGAUACCUGGUACCAGACCGAUCUCUCUUCCUCCCUACAGGAUGGCACCAGCUGAGCUGAGAGAAUUGAAAGAGCAGUUACAGGAUUUGGUAGACAAGGGUUUCAUCCGCCCGAGUACCUCACCUUGGGGUGCUCCAAUACUGUUUUUCAGGAAGAAGGAUGGACCUCUUAGACUUUGUGUUGACUAUCGACAGUUGAACAAAGUUACUACCAAGAACAAGUAUCCUUUACCCAGGAUCGAUGAUCUAUUCGACCAGUUGGCAGGAGCAUGUUGUUUCUCUAAGAUAGAUCUGAGAUCUGGAUACCACCAGUUGAAGAUCAGGGAAGAAGAUAUAUUCAAGACUGCUUUCAGGACCAGAUAUGGGCAUUAUGAGUUCCUAGUAAUGCCGUUCGGGUUGACUAACGCCCCUGCAGCAUUCAUGGAUCUCAUGAACAGGGUUUUCAGGGAGUACCUGGAUCGUUUUGUGAUCGUCUUUAUAGAUGAUAUCUUGGUGUACUCCAGAAAUGCAGAAGAACAUGCCCAGUAUCUGCGGAUAGUUCUCCAGACCUUGAGAGAGCAUGGCUUGUAUGCCAAGUUCUCCAAGUGCGAGUUCUGGCUCAGGAGCAUUUCCUUUUUGGGUCAUGUAGUAGCAGAAGAAGGAAUAGUAGUAGAUCCCAAAAAGGUAGAGGCAGUAGCCAACUGGCCUACACCCACUACAGUGACUGAGAUCAAGAGUUUUCUGGGUUUGGCAGGCUACUAUCGGAGGUUCGUGCAGGGCUUCUCGAAGAUAGCUGCUCCUAUGACCAGACUGACCAGAAAGAAUCAGAAGUUCGUAUGGUCAGAGGAAUGUGAUGAGAGUUUUGAAGAGUUGAAGAGAUGGUUGACUUCAGCACCGGUGUUAGCUCUGCCGAUCAGUGAUGAAGAUUUCACAGUGUUCUGUGAUGCAUCCCGAGUGGGAUUAGGUUGUGUGUUGAUGCAGAAUGACAGAGUGAUAGCUUAUGCUUCUAGACAGCUAAAGAAGCACGAGCUGAACUACCCGACACACGAUCUUGAGAUGGCAGCCGUUAUCUUUGCACUUAAGAUGUGGAGGCAUUACCUCUAUGGAGUACAGUGUGAGAUCUAUACGGAUCAUAAGAGCUUGCAGCACAUCUUGAGUCAGAGAGAGCUAAACUUGAGGCAGAGACGGUGGGUAGAAUUGCUCAGUGAUUAUGAUUAUAAGAUCCAGUAUCAUCCGGGUAAGGCUAAUGUGGUAGCUGAUGCCUUAAGCCGGAAAUCACUUGGCAGUCUGUCCCACAUCACAGCAGAAAGAAGGCCGGUGGUGAAGGACUUCUACAGGCUCAUGGAUGAAGGGUUACAGUUGCAGUUAUCUGGUACAGGUGCUUUGCUUGCACAGAUGAGAGUUAUACCUGUGUUUCUAGAGCAAGUGGCUCUGAAACAGCACGAGGACCCUGAGUUAGUAAAGAUUGCCAGGACUAUUCAGUCUGGCAACAGUGCAGAGUUCAGAUUUGACAGUGAGGGGAUUCUUCGUCAUGGUAAGAGAUUAUGUGUACCAAAUGACGCCAGUUUGAAAGCAGACAUUAUGAGAGAAGCUCAUAAUGCGAGAUAUAGCAUUCACCCUGGAGCCACCAAAAUGUAUCAAGAUCUGCGAAAGGUGUAUUGGUGGCCAGCAAUGAAGAAAGAAGUGGCACAGUUCGUGUCAGCCUGCGAAACAUGUCAAAGGGUGAAGCUAGAGCACCAGAAGCCGGCUGGAAUGCUGAACCCACUGCCAAUUCCAGAGUGGAAAUGGGAGAACAUAGCUAUGGAUUUUGUAGUGGGGUUACCGGCGACGUCUACCAGACUAGACUCCAUAUGGGUGAUUGUGGAUAGACUCACUAAAUCUGCCCACUUCAUUCCAAUCAGGAGUAACUAUGCUGUGGACAAGCUAGCGCAAGUGUAUGUGGACGAAAUAGUAAAGCUGCAUGGAGUUCCAGUGUCGAUUGUAUCAGAUAGAGGACCUCAGUUCACCUCCAGAUUUUGGCGGAGUCUGCAAGCUGCUAUGGGCACAAGAUUGGAUUUCAGUACUGCUUUCCAUCCGUAGACAGACGGUCAGUCAGAGAGGACCAUCCAAACUAUUGAAGAUAUGUUGAGAAUGUGUGUGUUAGACUUUGGCGGUUCUUGGAGGCAGCAUCUACCACUAGUGGAGUUUGCCUACAACAACAGCCAUCAUGCUAGCAUAGGGAUGGAAGCUCUGUAUGGAAGGAAGUGCAGAACACCUGUUUGCUGGGAAGAGGUUGGAGAGAAGGCUCUUGCAGGGACAGAGUUAGUGGAGAUUACCAGCAAGUUGGUGCCGAUGAUCAGAGAGAGGAUCAGAACAGCUGUGAGCAGGCAGAAAAGUUAUGCAGACAUCCGUAGGAAGCAGAUAGAGUUCCAGGAGGGGGAUAUGGUAUUGCUAAAGGUAUCUCCAAUGAAGGGAGUGGUUCGCUUUGGAAAGAAGGGUAAAUUAGCUCCACGGUACAUUGGUCCCUUUGAAAUCUUGCAGAAGAUUGGGAAUAUGUCGUAUAAGCUGGAUUUACCUGCUUCGAUGGAACGAAUUCACCCGGUAUUCCAUGUUUCUAUGUUGCGGAAAUUUGUGUCAGAUCCAAAGAAGGUUCUCAGUGAGCCUGAGAUAGAGAUCCUUGAGGAUCUCACGUAUGAAGAACAGUCAGUACGGAUCUUGGACACCCAGAUUAGAAAGUUGAGAAACAAGGAGAUACCAAUGGUGAAAGUCCUGUGGAACCACCACAACCUAGAAGAGUGCACCUGGGAGACACGGGAGUCCAUGCUCCAGCAAUAUCCAUAUCUGUUUUAAGGUUAGGUUUUCCCCAUUGCUAUGUGUUUAUGUGUUUAUGUGUGUAGUUGUUUGAGGAACAUUCGGGGACGAAUGUUCUUAAGGGGGGGGAGAAUGUAAUACCCGGCUUGAGUCCGGCAUCGGAAUUCCUGUAGACCGGUGGAAUCUCGGGUGUCGGAACCCUCGAAAAGGGUAAGACAUAUGGUUUCAUGUGUUUUUAAGCGUUUUCAAUGUUUUAAAGUGUUAAAAGGAAAUGAGUUUUGAAAGAAAAGCAACAAGGGAGAAAUGCAAAGGUUCGGCCGCCGAAGGUCACUUUCGGCCGCCGAACAUUGCAUGGUUUCGGAUUCACGUUCGGCUGCCGAAGGUGGUCUGGCCAGCCACUUAUAAAAGGGCCAAGGGUCGGUGGAAGGAGGAUAUUUCUCCUCCACUUGCAGCCAGAGGUGCGUUCAAGCCUCUCUCACGUUGACUUUCAUGUUUUUCAUGUUUUUCACCAAAUCUUUCAAGGGUUUUAUAUGUUUUGGUGUGUUUUGAAGGUUUUGAGCAAAAAUAGUAAGUUUUGAAGCUUGGAGCUUUGGAAGAGGUUUUCUCCCUAUCUCCACGUUAGGAGCACUCAUCCUCAAGUUCUUUAGGAGGUAAGGGUUGCUCCUGAACUUCUUUGAUGAGGUUUGAAGGUUUUAUGGGAGUUGGAUGGGUAGUAUGCAUGAUUAGGUGUAGGUGAGGUUUUUGGGAGAUGUUUGUGUUCAAGCAUGUUAAGUGUUGUUUGAUGUGUUUGUUUGAGGUUUUAGGAUAGUUUUGGACCUCUUUAUGCAUGUUUUAUGGUAUGUGCUAGUUGGGAGUAGUUGAUAUGCAUGUUGGGUAAAUUUUGGGGGAGUUUUGCAUGAAGCAGAGCAGGGUUCUGUCCACUGGGCAAAACCAGGUUCGGCCGCCGAAGAGAGGUUCGGCCGCCGAACCCCUUGUGGAGGCAGUUUCGGCUGCCAAAGCUUGCCCCCGAACAUUUGGACUUUCGUCUCUGGAGGCAAUGUUCGGCCGCCGAAGGUUGAGGUUCGUCUCUGGAUGAGACUUUCGGCUGCCGAAGGUGCCGCCGAACAUGCAUGAGUUUCGUCUCUGGAGAGGGGUUUCGGCCGCCGAACCUGCCGCCGAAAGUGCCCUGUCCAGCUUUCUUUUGCAUGUUUUAUGUGAUGGUUUUAGGAUCUUUUAGAGGGCUUUUGGGGAGUUUCUUAGAGCGGUUCUUGAGGUCGUUUGGUCCCUCAUUUGAGUCCACCUGUGUAGGAACGGACCAGAGGAAUCAGGGAAGUCAGCAGUGAGCACAAGUUCAGAACCUGCAGAGGUAGUCCAGAGUCAGCCAGAAGUGAGUGGAACUUCUCUUUUCAGAACUAAAAUGCUUUUAGCAUGUGGCAUGCAUCAUGAUGACUAUAGUAGGUUGAUUGCACUAGUUUCACGAAUAUGGCGCAUUGCAUUGCAUAAUACGAUGUAUAUGAUGAGAUGGAUGGACCAAGGCGACCCCAAUAGCCCUAACUCUGUGUAAGACCUGGCCGGGCCAGGCAGCCUUCUGUAGGUAAGACUUGGCUAGGCCAGGCAGCAGAUUAUCGUAAGACCUGGCUGGGCCAGGCGAGCAGAGUUUGUAAGACCUGGCCGGGCCAGGCAAAUUGAGGAUGUAAGACCUGGCUGGGCCAGGCAUCCUCCCAGUGGGAAUUUUGGUGGUCAUGUCUGUCCUUGAGAUGAAAUGUCUGUGAUGUGAUGCAUUCCAUGAGAUCAUGUUUUAUAGUUCUACUCAUUGGGCUUGUAUAGCUCAUCCCUCUCCCCUAUUCCCCAGUUGUGCAGGUUCAGAGUCCAGAGGGAGUUCAGCAGGGUAUGGAAGAAGCGAGAUGUAAUAGCUAGUGUGGACAUGUAUAUGUAAAGAGCUUGUAGUUACGUAAUAAGAUGUAUAGACUUGUGCUUGAUUCGUUAGAGUGAUCCCCAGUUGUGUAUACAUGAUCCGUUUUUAUAUGUAUGUAUCUUUUCUUGUUGAUGUAUAUGAGAAAACCAGGCUUAAUAUUCUGAGUUUAUCCGCUUAGAGUAAGAGAGAGCAGAAACAGUGCAUGCACAGGUUAAACCCUGGAGGAAAGAACAGUUUUAAUGUUUGACAGAAAAAGUAUGAUCAUGUAUGGGAUUUCAUAGGUACACAGACAGGAUAGCAGGCUUACUACGGGUCCCGGCGACCUUAAGUCGAUCUGGAUCCUAGUGCCGGUAGCAGUUCGGUUUUCGGGCUGUUACAAUUAACAACAUAAACUAGGGCAAAGCACAAAUCUAUUCCAUUAAAAAUUUCAUGUCCAUUACUAUCUAUUGCAUAACUAUAUCCGCCUCAAGCCGACUUCCCGAGCUAAUCUUGGCCCUGCAAACCUGGGGUUAGGAAAAAGGAUAAGCUACAAGAGCCUAGUGAGCAGAACCAUAAAAACAGUUUAAAUAAACAUAUACUCGCAUGAAAUGCAUCACAACACAGACAAUUCACAUCAAGGAUGGACUUGUCACCAGUAACUCUCUACAUAUCAAAAUAAUGCCCGGCCCUCGACGGAGCUCCUCAGGACUUCCUCUUAAACAUAACAUAACAUAUCCAAUUGUGCUAGGGGCGUAGAAUGAGCCUCGACCUGGACUUCCGUAUCAUACCAUAUCAUAUCAUAUCGAGGGCUAGUGGGUCAUCCAAUAUCCAUCCACAUCAACAAUAAAUUAUGCAAUGCAUCAUAUUCGUGAGUUCUAAUGCAAACAACCUAUUACAUAACAUGGCAUUCAUGAUACAUGAACAUGCUUAAAAGUUUGAUAAUCUUUAAAACAAUGGAUUAGUUUAGUUCUACUCACCUCUGGCUAACGUUUUACUAACACUGGAGCAGUUUCCUCACUGCUGGCCUCUACGGUCUCCCAGGUUCGAUCCUACACAGGUGGAUUUAAAUGAGGGACCCAACAUACUCUAACAAGACUCUAAACAUCUCCUCAAAACCCCCUAAAACAUCACAAAACAUGCAUAAAAAACGAGCAAAGGAAGGCUGGGCAGAGGACUUUCGGCGGCAGGUUCGGCGGCCGAAGGUCCUCUACUGAUCCGAAAGUCGGGGUCCUUCGGGGGCGGGUUCGGCGGCCGAAAGUCGGGGUCCUUCGGGGGCGGGUUCGGCGGCCGAAAGUCCUCCACAGAUCCGAAAGUCAGGGACUUUCAGGGGCGGGUUCGGCGGCCGAAACUCCCUUCCAGGUCUGAAAGUGCAUGCUUUCGGGGGCAUGUUAGGCGGCCAAAAGGCUGCCUCCCAUGCAGGUUUGGCGGCCGAACCCUGCUUCAGCGGCCAAACCUGAGUUCGCCAGAAUGGCAAAACCUGAUUCUGCCAUAUGCAUUUCAACCCCAAACUCUCAAAUCCUCACACCCAACUUCCUAAAACAUGCAUACUCACUCCAACAAGCAUAAGGGGCAUAAAAACUAACCUAAACCCCAACAAACAACAACAAAACAUAAAAGGGAGCAUACAUUCAUCAAAAACCCACCUCCAACCCUAUAGCUCUAGAUCCAACCAUAACGUGCAUCUUUACUUCUUAACCCUUCAUAAAACUUAAUUAAAAACAUAAGAGAGGUAAGGAUCUAGGCUUACCUCUUGGAGAUCUAGGAGUGACAGCAACCCCAAUGUGGAGAUGAGUCAAACGGUCUCCAAGGCUUCAAAAACUCGGGUUUAAGCUUAGAUCUUCAAAGACAAAAGAAAACUCGUGAAAACAUUGAAGUAUUUGAAAGAAAAUCAUAAAAUCAUCAAGGGGAAGGCAAGGACUCACCUCUGCCCGAAAAUGGAGAGAAAACUCGCCCGUUUUCGGACUAGGGGCCUCUUAUAGGUGGCUGGCCAGACCACCUUAGGGGGCCGAAAGAGCUCCCGCAGCAGCACCAUGUUCGGCGGCCGAACCUGGGCUUAUCCCUCAAAAACAUUUU
rnacentral:lncRNA from 1 species